GCCGGCGUAGCUCAGAGGUAGAGCACCCGAUUCGUAAUCGGGAGUGCAUGGGUUCGAAUCCCAUCGCCGGCU
rnacentral:tRNA from 1 species